rnacentral:miRNA from 1 species
UGAGGCAGGAGAAUUGCUUGAACCCAGGAGGCGGAGGCUGCAGUGAGCCAAGAUUGUGCCACUGUACUCCAGCCUGGGUGACAGAGUGAGACUCCAUCUC